rnacentral:rRNA from 1 species
UUGGUUAAGUUAGAAAGGGCGCACGGUGGAUGCCUUGGCACUAGGAGCCGAAGAAGGACGGGACUAACACCGAUAUGCUUUGGGGAGCUGUACGUAAGCGUUGAUCCAGAGAUUUCCGAAUGGGGGAACCCACUAUCUUUAGUCGGAUAGUAUCCUUACGUGAAUACAUAGCGUGAGGAAGGCAGACCCAGGGAACUGAAACAUCUAAGUACCUGGAGGAAGAGAAAGAAAAAUCGAUUUCCUGAGUAGCGGCGAGCGAAACGGAAAGAGCCCAAACCAAGAAGCUUGCUUCUUGGGGUUGUAGGACACUCUAUACGGAGUUACAAAAGAAAGUUAUAAAUGAAGCGGUCUGGAAAGGCCCGCCAAAGACGGUAACAGCCCGGUAGUUGAAAUAGCUUUCCCUCCAGAGUGGAUCCUGAGUACGGCGGAACACGUGAAAUUCCGUCGGAAUCCGGGAGGACCAUCUCCCAAGGCUAAAUACUCCCUAGUGACCGAUAGUGAACCAGUACCGUGAGGGAAAGGUGAAAAGCACCCCGGAAGGGGAGUGAAACAGUUCCUGAAACCGUGUGCCUACAAGUAGUUAGAGCCCGUUAAUGGGUGAUAGCGUGCCUUUUGUAGAAUGAACCGGCGAGUUACGAUUUGUUGCAAGGUUAAGCGGAAAAAGCGGAGCCGUAGCGAAAGCGAGUCUGAAUAGGGCGAAUAAGUAACAGGUCGUAGACCCGAAACCAGGUGAUCUACCCAUGUCCAGGAUGAAGGUAAGGUAAUACUUACUGGAGGUCCGAACCCACGCACGUUGAAAAGUGCGGGGAUGAGGUGUGGGUAGCGGAGAAAUUCCAAUCGAACUUGGAGAUAGCUGGUUCUCUCCGAAAUAGCUUUAGGGCUAGCCUCGAGGUAAAGAGUCAUGGAGGUAGAGCACUGUUUGGACUAGGGGCCCUUCUCGGGUUACCGAAUUCAGAUAAACUCCGAAUGCCAUGUACUUAUACUCGGGAGUCAGACUGCGAGUGAUAAGAUCCGUAGUCGAAAGGGAAACAGCCCAGACCACCAGUUAAGGUCCCCAAAUAUAUGUUAAGUGGAAAAGGAUGUGGGGUUGCUUAGACAACCAGGAUGUUGGCUUAGAAGCAGCCACCAUUGAAAGAGUGCGUAAUAGCUCACUGGUCGAGUGACCCCGCGCCGAAAAUGUACCGGGGCUAAACAUAUUACCGAAACUGUGGAUGAACCUCUUUAGAGGUUCGUGGUAGGAGAGCGUUCUAAGGGCGGUGAAGUCAGACCG